rnacentral:rRNA from 1 species
UACGUAGGGUGCAAGCGUUUAAUCGGAAUUACUGGGCGUAAAGCGUGCGCAGGCGGUUUUGUAAGUCUGUCGUGAAAGCCCCGGGCUCAACCUGGGAAUUGCGAUGGAGACUGCAAGGCUUGAAUCUGGCAGAGGGGGGUAGAACUCCACGUGUAGCAGUGAAAUGCGUAGAGAUGUGGAGGAACACCGAUGGCGAAGGCAGCCCCCUGGGUCAAGAUUGACGCUCAUGCACGAAAGCGUGGGGAGCAAACAGG